CACAACCUCCCAGCCGUCGCUAGUCGCUCGCUCCAUCACCGAUAACCAAGAUCCCAAGACCUCCUCCAGCCUCCUCUGCUCUCGCGCCGGCACCCGCACGCAUGGCUGCCUGUGUCGACAAGUGGCACCCCACGCACGCCGGCCGCCUCACCGGCGCCAUCUACCGCUACUUGCCGGACGGCGCCACGGACCGCGCGGUGGCCGCCGCCGCCGCCGCGCCGGCGUCCGCGAGCGGCGGCGACGACGACGACGUCUGGGACGAGCUGCGCGCGGAGGCGCAGGCCGACGCGGACGCCGAGCCUCUGCUCCGCAAGUACUACGCCGACCUCGUCCUGUCGCGCCCGUCGCUGGAGGCCGCCCUCGCCGCGCACCUGUCGGCCAAGCUCUGCGUCCCCGGCGCGCUGCCGCAGGACGCGCUCCGGGACCUCCUGGCCGCCGCACUGGCCGCGCGCCCGGAGUCCGGCCGCGCCGCGCGCGCCGACCUCCGCGCGGCGCGCGACCGCGACGCGGCCUGCGGCCGGAUGGUGCACUGCUUCCUCUACUACAAGGGCUUCCUCGCCCUGCAGGCGCACCGCGCCGCGCACGGGCUGUGGUGCGAGGGCCGCUCCGCGCCGGCCUUCCUCCUCCAGAGCCGCGCGUCCGAGGUGUUCGGCGUCGACAUCCACCCCGGCGCGCGCAUUGGCUCGGGGAUCCUGUUCGACCACGCCACGGGCAUCGUCAUCGGCGAGACGGCCGUCGUUGGGAACGACGUCUCCAUCCUGCACGGCGUCACCCUCGGCGGCACGGGAAAGGAGUCCGGCGACCGGCACCCGAAGGUCGGGGACGGGGUGCUGAUCGGCGCCGGCGCCAGCGUGCUCGGCAAUGUGCGCGUUGGAGCCGGGGCGAAGAUUGGAGCAGGGGCGGUCGUGCUACGGGACGUGCCGGAGGGGACCACGGCCGUCGGGAACCCCGCCAAGGCGGUCGGGAAGAAGGCGGCGCCGCAGCGGCGGCCGGAAGAGCAGCCUGGGGUCACCAUGGAGCAAGGGUGGUCGGACUACGUGAUUUGAUAACUUCCAGAGGGUCUGUUUGCAAAUAUUUAGUGCAGGAGAGUUUCCCUCCCAGAAGAUAUUUAGUCAAGUCGUUAUUGAGAGAUAGGUGCAUUGCCGUUGCUGCAUUGCAUAAAGAGGGAGCUCAAUUAGGCAUUGAGCCCUAGAGCAACUCCAUAUUUUUCUUUGUUUUGCGUGAGGGGAAUAACAAUACUAUAUGCAUCUGAUAAGUUAUCGGUUGCUUGUACAUAUACUUUCAAGCUAUAAAUUAUUGUGUCCGCAUGUUUCGUUUCUUCUCCUAAG
rnacentral:misc_RNA from 1 species